UGCAGUCGAGCGAUGGAUUAAAUCUUGCUCUUAUGAAGUUAGCGGCGGACGGGUGAUGAACACGUGUGUACCCUGCCCAUGGACUGGGAUAACUCCGGGAAACCGGGGCUAAUACCGGAUAACAUUUUGAACCGCAUGGUUCUAAAUUGAAAGGCGGCUUCGGCUGUCACUUAUGGAUGGACCCGCGUCGCAUUAACUAGUUGGUGAGGUAACGGCUCACCAAGGCGACGAUGCGUGACAACCUGACAGGGUGAUCGGCCACACUGGGACUGAUACACGGCCCAGACUCCUACGGGAGGCAUCAAUAGGGAAUCUUCCGCAAUGGACGAAAGUCUGACGGAGCAACGCCGGGCGAGUGAUGAAGGCUUUCUGGUCGUAAAACUCUGUUGCUAGGGAAUAACAAGUGCUAGUUGAAUAAGCUGGCACCUUGACGGCACCUAACCACAAAGCCACGGCUAACUACGUGCCACCAGCCGCGGUAAUACUUAUGUGGAAUGCGUUAUCCGGAAUUAUUGGGCGUAUAUCGCGCGCAGGUGUGUUCUUACGUCUGAUGUGAAAGGCCACGGCUCUACCGUGGAGGGGCAUUGGAAACUGGGAGACUUGAGUGCAGAAGAGGGAAGUGGAAUUCCAUGUGUAGCUGUGAAAUGCGUCGAGAUAUGGGAAGAAGCACCAGUGUCGACUGCUACUGUCUGGUGCUGUAACUGACACUGAGCAGCGAAAGCGUAGGAGAGCCCACCUAGGAAUUACAUACCCAUGCUAGUCGACGUACGUUAGACCGAUGGAUUGCUUAGAC
rnacentral:rRNA from 1 species